rnacentral:rRNA from 1 species
AGUGAACGCUGGCGGUAGGCCUAACACAUGCAAGUCGAACGGCAGCACAGUAAGAGCUUGCUCUUACGGGUGGCGAGUGGCGGACGGGUGAGGAAUACAUCGGAAUCUACUUUUUCGUGGGGGAUAACGUAGGGAAACUUACGCUAAUACCGCAUACGACCUUCGGGUGAAAGCAGGGGAUCUUCGGACCUUGCGCGAUUGAAUGAGCCGAUGUCGGAUUAGCUAGUUGGCGGGGUAAAGGCCCACCAAGGCGACGAUCCGUAGCUGGUCUGAGAGGAUGAUCAGCCACACUGGAACUGAGACACGGUCCAGACUCCUACGGGAGGCAGCAGUGGGGAAUAUUGGACAAUGGGCGCAAGCCUGAUCCAGCCAUACCGCGUGGGUGAAGAAGGCCUUCGGGUUGUAAAGCCCUUUUGUUGGGAAAGAAAAGCAGCAGGUUAAUACCCCGCUGUUCUGACGGUACCCUAAGAAUAAGCACCGGCUAACUUCGUG